CCUAUGGGACGCAGCAGUAGGGAAUAUUGCACGAUGGGGGGAACCCUGAUGCAGCGACGCCGCGUGGGUGAAGGAGUAUUUCGGUAUGUAAAGCCCUAUCAGCAGGGAAGAACAAUGGCGGUACCUGACUAAGAAGCACCGGCUAAAUACGUGCCAGCAGCCGCGGUAAUACGGAUGGUGCAAGCGUUAUCCGGAUUUACUGGGGGGAAAGGGAGCGCAGGCGGCGCGUUAAGCCUGGUGUGAAAGCCCGCGGCCCAACCGCGGGACUGCAUUGGGAACUGGGGCG
rnacentral:rRNA from 1 species